GCAGCACUCCCCGACAGCCUCUGCUUCAGCUCCUGCCUCCAGGCUUCUGCCUUGAGCUCCUGAUCUGGCUUUUCUCAGUGAUGGACUGUAACCUUUGGCUUGGAUGUCAGACUCCCAUUCCACUUUGUAUGUAAGCAUGUCAGUCUUUCGAGGAGUGUCUACAAGCAAGUGACAGAAGGAGGUUCAGCCCUAACUUAUCUAACCCUCUUCAGGCUGAAGACAAAAAGAUAAGACUAAGGAGGUAGAAAAAAGCAUUAGUCACAGACAGCUCCUGCUUAGGCUCUGAAACCUGUAAGGCAUCUGGAGAAUGCUGGAGUCUGGCUUCCUUGAACUGAGAACAUCAAAGGCAAUGAGAAAGACUGAGAGGUAGCUCAUCCUCUGUCAGCCUGCGUCAUCUUCCAAGUCUGAGGGUUCUGCAGGCAGAGAGCCAGGCUGCACGCCACGACCGACUCAUGGACUCCUUUUGCUCAAGAAGGCUUUAAAUAAUAAGAAAAUGGAACCCUGACACUAUUAGGUCGUUCUGGCUAUUGCGUCCAGCCUUAUGCUGCUAGCAGGUUACAACUUGAAACAACAAAAAGAAA
ensembl:processed_transcript C430002N11Rik RIKEN cDNA C430002N11 gene